rnacentral:lncRNA from 1 species
GGGGAAUCUUAAUUUCGACUAUCCAAUUUGCCUAGGAGAACAAACUUCUUGAUUCUUAUGGACUUUGGUGACGCCAUUUCAAGAGCCCCUACUAUGUGCAGAGCUCUCCAUUCAGUGGAGGAACCCUCUAGGGCUAAGACCUGAUUUCUGUCCUUGGGGAGCUCACAGGCCAAUGGAGGCAACUGCACUCAGAUCUAAGACACAGAUGUUUUUACUAAGUUAAUGUGACCGUUGCAGGUUCUGACAGUACCCGAGAGUUUGUAGGCUCUGGUUUCCUCUGAUGGUAGGAGGAGAUGGUACAGGGAGGUCACAAAGACUGAUGCUCUUUGGUUCUCCAGUUGUCUUUCAGGAGGUGUAGCCUGAUUGUGGCCCAGGGAGUUUGGCUGUUCUGUGUGGUACACCUCCACUAUGUGGUCUCCAGUGAGCUGCUCAGCAGGUAAACUCCUCCAGGGCAGGACCUGACUCUUCAGAUGAAGUUUUUAAUCCUUCUCCCCAGAAGUGCCCACGUCAAGGCCAUAGUAGAGAAGAAGCUCAAGAGCAAUCCCUGAGCAACCACACUUGGAGGCAUCCUGCAUCAGAGGGAUUUGUUCCAGACUCAGAUUUAAUCCACUAUUUCCUUUUCAUAAGACAAGUGUUGUCUGAAGGAGUCUGUGUGUGAUUUUGAGACGAAAGGAUUGCAGAACUCAGCUCCCAGGUUGUCUCGUAUCUGAUUCUUCGAAAGGGGAAAAGAAGUGAACUUUUCUGCACAAUAGCUGAGCAGACAGGAGAGAAAAAGCUUGAAGAUUCACAGUGGAGCAAGGCUAAUUGAAGCCUUCCUCAGAGCAGCUCAACUCUCCCAAUUUUAUGUAUCCCAUUCCUUGCCAUUCCCACUGUAAUUCUGACUUGGCAAGAGCACCACACUGAAUGUUCUCAAAGUACUUUGUAGACUUUAAUUAGUUCUGUGGGAAGUCAGGCAAAGCUCAGCCUUCAUUCUGCCAACAGAGACGACAGUGGUGGGUGUGGAAGGAAGGCAAGAAGAAGAUGGACACCCAGAGCAAUUGUGCAAGUUACUGAAGGCCCUGUGGAUAGAAGGAACUGGGUUUAAAACCCCUGAGUCUUGAUAAAAGUGUCUUAGCCUUCCAGAUUCCUAAACAGGUAGUGGGCUCAUCCUACUAACCUACUUUGCUAGGGUGUUGUUGAUGAAUGCUUAUAAACCCUGUCCUAGAUGAUAGGUUUGGAAGAUUGUUAAGGAAAGCAUGUCAUUAAGUCCCUACUCACCCCCUCCUCGACAA